UAAAGGUUACUUGAACACAGCGCUGUGAUACCUCAAUGCUUGAUCAGAGAACCAAGGCAAAGCUACUAAGCGGCUAAUGGCAAUCCAGGCUGAAUGCAGACAGCACCAGGCUCCAUCAUGCUGCUAAGACCGACGCCAUUUAGAACAUAUGCAUGUUUAUUUCUGGAAUUGUUUAUUCAUGUCACAAUGCCUGCAUCAUUCAUCUCAUUUCAUCUCAUCACACGGGCAUCGUAUCAUCUCACAUCAUCACAAGGAGAAGGGGUAGCGCAUCAAAAUUGCAAUUCCAGGCCAGGCGUGAGCCACCGUAAUCCCAGCACUUUGGGAGGCCGAGGCAGGCAGAUCUCCCGAGGUCACGAGUUGGAGAUCAGUCUGGCCAACAUGGUAAAACCCCAUCUCUACUAAAAAUACAAAAAUUAGCCAGGUGCAGUGGCAGGUGCCUGUAAUCCCAGCUACUCCGGAGGCUGAGGCAGGAGAAUUGCUUGCCCCCGGGAGGUGGAGGUUGCAGUGAGCCGAGAUCAUGCCACUGCACUCCAGCCUGGAAGAAAAGACCGAGACUCCGUCUCAAAACAAAAAAAAAAAAAAAAAAAGAAAAAAAAUUGCAAUGCCAAUGCAUAAGAGCAAAUUAGCAGCCCCCAUAGGGUUUGUCUUAAUAAUAAUUACUGAGUUACAACUGACAACAGUUCCAAAUAAUUUAUUAUGGGUACAAUAUGCCAAUAAAAAGAAUAUUGGCAAACAUUUAUAGAAACUACAAUUUCCAUUUCUGCCGUGAAGACCUUCCCAAAGGCUCUGGCCGGCUCUGUUCUGUUGAACUGGACUUCUAGCAGCGGGCGUGGGAAACUCACUCCAGGACGGCGCAGCUUCUCUCAGCCCUGAUGGGGAGACGGGGUCUGGGCCUGCGCUUCAACUGCAGCCCCGCAGGAUUCACGACUGCCUAGGGCUGCUGGAGGACCAGGUGGGUUAGCCCACCCCAAACCUGUGUCCCAGUGCCUGAGGCUGUGAAUGCAAACUUGCCCAAGAGGUUUCCUGGGAAAGGAUUGUCGGAAAACCAGACAGAGACAAGGCUUAUCAGCCUGACUCAAUGCCAAAUGCCAGGGUCAGCAGGGACACCUGAUGCACGAGGGCACACACACUGCUGGCCACUCCGCCCUCAGCUCUGGCCUGGCCCUCAGCCCUCACAUGCUGCCGUCAGAGGCCUGAGCAAGGUACUGAAAUGGAGGAAAUGUACACAUUGAAGAGCAGUCUCACUGCCAUCUCUGCUGUGCGGUGAGAGCACACGACUUCAAUUCAGAAAACAUUUCAGCGUGCUGCCACAAGCCGGGCCUGUGUCCCACCAGCUCCCUUCAAAAAGCACGGCUCAGCCCAGCUUUCCAUGCUGGGGGCUGACUUCAGGCCACAGCCACAGUGCCAUGGCCCUUGGUAGGCAUGUCACUAGGGUGGGGACUUCAGAGGACACUGGGUCACUCCUUACGGACCGGAAGCUGGAUAACACCCAGUUAGCUGGAGCAGCAGAGGAGGAAAAUGGUGACCACCUCCUUGUAGUCAAGAGGAAUUUGUUGAACACACGUAAGACCUUCCUAGAGAACUUUUACACUGAUUAAGGGGAAUUUAAAGGUGCUUAAAAGGGAGGUAGACGGGCUAGGGAAAUUCCAGUCAUGAGUGUAAACAGGAGCCUGUUCUACCCACAGCUUAGGAGGACCUGGGAAAUGUGAGCCACCUUUACCAUCACACAUGGCAGGGUUUGGAACCUGGAACCCCUGAUGGCUUUGUGGAUAUUAUUCAGAGAUUUGCAAACCCAGACAGAUUAAAAAAAAAAAAAGAAGCAAAACUACACACAAAAGCAAGAACAAAAGUAAAAAGACUGCGUCAUUAUUUCUUCCAACCUCUAAUUGAGAUUUAGCAUUUUCUUCCUUUGGGAACAUAAGCACUUUCAUAUUCAGCCACUGCAUCUGUAUUUCCUCUCACAGCUUCUUUUGCAGGAAUGACUUCAUUCUACCACCCUUUGCUGCCAUAUCAGGACGUCGGGAAGCAAAGAGACGUGUCGGCUUGAUCAGCACACAGGUCAUUCCUAGAGAGAUCAGCUCAGUCACCGAGCAGGCAGGAACAGGCACUCUGGAGGGGAGAGGCAGGCCCAGGAGGAUGAGUCAAGGCAGGGAUUGAAACUGCAGGAUGAGGGAGUCAGCGCCUGGGAACCCACAGGGCGGAGUUAGAUAAGAAGAAAUGCCCGCGGAAUCUGCAGUUUAAAUGGAGCCUGGGGUUUGUAAAGAGGAGUCAGGCGUUCUUUACCUUGUCAGUUCCGACUGCUUUGUGCACAGCUGACUCAGAGACCGGGUGGGGCUGCCCUCUUAGGUGAAACCAGACCGAUUAGAAAGUCGGCUGGGCCCUGCAGAUCCUGCCGGCCACACCCUCCCAGCAUUAAGGGUAUGCCUCAUCUGUGAAACCAACUCUCCCCCGUGAAGGAGAAGUGACAUGUCCAUUUUAAAGAAAAUCACUUCAUGGUUGAGGAGGCAUGAUUUUUGCAUGCAACAGAGGCAGUGUAGAAGAAGUUCUUAAUCAACCUUUGUGCCAAGAAGCUCUUUAGCAGUCUGAUGAAGCCCGUGGGCCCCUUCUAAGAAUAAUAUUUUUAAACCCAUAACAUAAAUACAUCGGGCACCAAGGAAACCAGUUAUAUUGAAACAGCUAUCAAAGGAAACCAAAUAUCUUGAAAUACAGUUAUCAAAAUAUUGAA